GAUGAACGCUGGCGGCGUGCCUAAUACAUGCAAGUCGAGCGAACAGACGAGGAGCUUGCUCCUCUGACGUUAGCGGCGGACGGGUGGGUAACACGUGGAUAACCUACCUAUAAGACUGGGAUAACUUCGGGAAACCGGAGCUAAUACCGGAUAAUAUAUUGAACCGCAUGGUUCAAUAGUGAAAGACGGUUUUGCUGUCACUUAUAGAUGGAUCCGCGCCGCAUUAGCUAGUUGGUAAGGUAACGGCUUACCAAGGCAACGAUGCGUAGCCGACCUGAGAGGGUGAUCGGCCACACUGGAACUGAGACACGGUCCAGACUCCUACGGGAGGCAGCAGUAGGGAAUCUUCCGCAAUGGGCGAAAGCCUGACGGAGCAACGCCGCGUGAGUGAUGAGGGUCUUCGGAUCGUAAAACUCUGUUAUUAGGGAAGAACAAAUGUGUAAGUAACUAUGCACGUCUUGACGGUACCUAAUCAGAAAGCCACGGCUAACUACGUG
rnacentral:rRNA from 1 species